rnacentral:rRNA from 1 species
AUGAACGCUAGCGGCAGGCUUAAUACAUGCAAGUCGUGGGGCAGCAGGUUUGUAGCAAUACAGAUGCUGACGACCGGCAAACGGGUGCGGAACACGUACAGAACCUUCCUUUGAGCGGGGAAUAGCCCAGAGAAAUUUGGAUUAAUACCCCAUAGUAUAAUGAAGUGGCAUCACUUUAUUAUUAAAGAUUUAUCACUCGAAGAUGGCUGUGCGGCUGAUUAGGUAGUUGGCGGGGUAAAGGCCCACCAAGCCUGCGAUCAGUAACUGGUGUGAGAGCACGACCAGUCACACGGGCACUGAGACACGGGCCCGACUCCUACGGGAGGCAGCAGUAAGGAAUAUUGGUCAAUGGAGGCAACUCUGAACCAGCCAUGCCGCGUGGAGGAUGAAGGUCCUCUGGAUUGUAAACUUCUUUUAUAUGGGACGAAAAAAGGCUUUUCUAAGUCGUCUGACGGUACCAUAUGAAUAAGCACCGGCUAACUCCGUG